ensembl:snRNA U4 U4 spliceosomal RNA
AGCUUUGCGCAGCGGCAGUAUUGUAGCCAAUGACAUUUAUCUGAGGCACGACUAUUGCUAAUUGAAACUAACUGUAGUAAAAAUGCUUAGUAGCAGCCUAGUGACCAGAAAGAAUACGUAUCACUUUACUAUAUUUAGAAUCAGAAUUUUAUUGCUGAAAGGGAUAUUAGAUAUCACUUAAUCUG